UGUACUGUCUCUUUAUCUGUCUUAAUGCUGUAUUAAUUUGGAAAAUAAUUUGGCUGCUUUCUCAGAGAGCAAAAUAUAAAUGGCUUAAGCAACAUAAAGAUUGCAUACAGAAGUCAGGCAAAUCGACCGUCUCAGGGUUGAGGAAACUCCGCCGAAAGGGUUGCCCAUGACCCUGGUUUCUUAUGUUUUAUUUCUUUGUCAUUCCCUAGGAUGUUGUCUCCAUUUACAAGGCCAAAGCAGGUUCAUCAUCAGCUCAUCACUCUUCAGCCCCAGGAAGCGCAGCAUGGAGUUAAAAGGACAAAGGAAGAAGGCAUUUUCACACCAGACUGGCCAGAUGGGAAGAAUCUUCAGCUUCAGCUUGGUCUAAUUAAUUUGAAAACAAAUUGCUUACAUGAGGCAGGCACCUGUGUCCAGCUGAAAGCGGGUCCUUCAGAGCAUGUAGGGUUCUCUGCUGGCUUGAUGGGCUGGCUCCUUCAAGCCGGUUGCUGGAGACGUCACCGGUUGAGGGACUCCUGCAAAUGUUCAUACAUGACUUGAUCCUGAGAGGAGGGAGAACAUAGAAUACAGAGCCCAUCACUGCUUGUUAUGGGCUGAAUGGUGUCCCCCCCAAAAUUCACAUGCUGCAGUCCUCACCUGCAGAACCUCAGAAUGUGAUUGUAACUGGAGAGAGGGUCUUUACAGAGGAGUCUGGAUUAAAACAAGGUCACACAAGUGGGCUCUUAUCCAAUAUGCCUGGUGUCCUUACAAAAAGGAGGGAAUAGGGCUCAGAUGUGCAGAGGAAAGAGCACCGCUGGGAGAAGACAGCCAUCUGUGAGGACACCGGCUUAGAAGAACCAACCCUACCCAACACUCUCCAGAACCGUGAGAACAUACAUUUUCCAUUUUUUAAGCCA